UUUGACAAUGCACAUCUAGACACUUAACUUGGUUUAAGUUGGCCUCAUAAACACCCAAAUUUGAGAAUGCACAUCCAGAAAAGUGUGUUUACGGGGCCAACUUAAACCAAAUUAUGGUGUCUAGAUGUGCAUUUCAAAGU